GAUCAUGGCUCAGGAUGAACGCUGGCGGCGUGCCUAAUACAUGCAAGUAGAACGCUGAAGCUUGGUGCUUGCACCGAGCGGAUGAGUUGCGAACGGGUGAGUAACGCGUAGGUAACCUGCCUCUUAGCGGGGGAUAACUAUUGGAAACGAUAGCUAAGACCGCAUAGGUGUAGAGAUCGCAUGAACUCUAUAUGAAAAGUGCUACGGGACUGGUAGAUGAUGG
rnacentral:rRNA from 1 species